ACUCCUACGGGAGGCAGCAGUGGGGAAUAUUGCGCAAUGGAGGAAACUCUGACGCAGCCAUGCCGCGUGAGUGAAGAAGGCCUUCGGGUUGUAAAGCUCUUUCAACUGUGAGGAUGAUGACAGUAGCAGUAGAAGAAGCACCGGCUAACUUCGUGCCAGCAGCCGCGGUAAUACGAAGGGUGCUAGCGUUGUUCGGAAUUACUGGGCGUAAAAGAGCUCGUAGGCGGUUUGUCACGUCUGCUGUGAAAAUCCAAGGCUCAACCUUGGACUUGCAGUGGGUACGGGCAGGCUAGAGUGCGGUAGGGGAGAUGGGAAUUCCUGGUGUAGCGGUGGAAUGCGCAGAUAUCAGGAGGAACACCAAUGGCGAAGGCACAUCUCGUGGGCCGUAACUGACGCUGAGGAGCAGAAAGCGGUGGGGAGCGAACAGGAUUAGAUACCCUGUAGGUCAGUC
rnacentral:rRNA from 1 species